AUUGAACGCUGGCGGCGUGCUUAACACAUGCAAGUCGUGCGGUAACAGGCGUAGCAAUACGUGCUGACGAGCGGCGAACGGGUGCGUAAUACAUGGGAAUCUGCCCUUUAGUGGGGAAUAACCCGGCGAAAGCCGGGCUAAUGCCGCAUAAGAUCUUCGGAUGAAAGCGGGGGAUCGUAAGACCUCGCGCUGAUGGAUGAGCCCAUGU
rnacentral:rRNA from 1 species